rnacentral:rRNA from 1 species
CCUACGGGUGGCAGCAGUGGGGAAUAUUGCACAAUGGGGGAAACCCUGAUGCAGCAACGCCGCGUGAGCGAUGAAGGCCUUCGGGUCGUAAAGCUCUGUCCUAAGGGAAGAAUACUGACGGUACCUUAGGAGGAAGCCCCGGCUAACUACGUGCCAGCAGCCGCGGUAAUACGUAGGUGGCAAGCGUUGUCCGGAAUCAUUGGGCGUAAAGCGCGCGCAGGCGGUCCUUUAAGUCUGAUGUGAAAUCUUGCGGCUCAACCGUAAGCGGUCAUUGGAAACUGGGGGACUUGAGUGCAGGAGAGGAAAGCGGAAUUCCAUGUGUAGCGGUGAAAUGCGUAGAGAUAUGGAGGAACACCAGUGGCGAAGGCGGCUUUCUGGCCUGUAACUGACGCUGAGGCGCGAAAGCGUGGGGAGCAAACAGGAUUAGAUACCCUUGUAGUC